AUAACAUUCAUCUAGGUCCCUCUAUGUGACCUCUGAACUUGAAGGCAAGAGGCCCAAAUGCAAAUAUGAGUUCACGCUACUUUCUUUGCUACGAGUAAUAAAGUCCUUUGAGCCUGGGCUCUCAUGUGUUCUGAGAGCAUCCAUAAAACUGUGGCAAGUUAACGUGCUAAAUCACAGCUACCAUAAGAUUUCGGACUCUUCAUAGCUCCUGACAGUAAUCUUGUAUUUGCCUGCCUCUUUUCAUGCCUGGUAAUUUUUUAUUGGAUAUCAGGCACUGAGAAUUUCACUUUGUAAGUGCUGGAUAAUUUUAUAUUCCUGUACAUAUUCUUGAUCUUUGCCCUGGGUUGCUGUUAAAUUACUUGGAAACAGUUUUAGCCUUUUUGGUUUUGCUUUUAAGAUUUCUAACUUAGGUAAGGUCGCAGUGGUGCUUAAUCUAAGGAACAUUAUUCCCUACUACUAAGGCAAGACAUUUCUGUGUGCUCUGUCCAACGCCACAAAUCAUGAGAUUUUCUAGUCUGGCUGGUGAGAACAGGCAUUCUCCCCAGCCCCACAUAAGUGCUAAUCAUGUGGAGUGCUUUUUUCUUGGCCUCAAGUAGUUUCCUCCCAGGAAUGCACUGAUUAGUACUCAGCUGAAUACUUAACAGGAACCACUGCCUAUCUCCAGAGUUCUUUUUUUGUGCAGCUCUCCUCUCUGUUACUCUGCCCUGUGAAUUUUAGCAUGUUGGUUUUCCCAGACUCUCAACUGUGUCUUUUCCACUUAGGAGAUCUGCCAGUUCCCUGUGGGCUUCUCUCUUUCACUGCAAUGCUUCUUAGAAAGUCUUGCAAGGCAGAAAGCUGGGAAAAUUGUAAAGCUAACUUUAUUUGUUUACCAGUUCCCAGGGAUUACUUUCUUUCAUUUCCUGAUAUUCAGUGCAGUGUCUUAAAAAAUAAU
rnacentral:lncRNA from 1 species